rnacentral:lncRNA from 1 species
GUGGUGCUAAAGUAUUACGUGUUUAUUUGCUUUCCAGUUGACUGUGAGCCUUGUACUAAAAGAAUGGCAAUUUUCUGAUGGUUCGAUCAGCUUGGGUAACUCUGUCAUAAGCAGAUCUCAACCUUCCUUUUACGGUUCACCAAAUCUUCAAUUGAGGACUGGGAGGAAAUUGAAAGUUGCAGUAGCGGAAGGUAGGAAUCUAUUUGUGAAGGAAAAAUCCGGAAAAUGCGACCCCUAUGUAAAACUCCAAUAUGGNUUUUCUGAUGGUUCGAUCAGCUUGGGUAACUCUGUCAUAAGCAGAUCUCAACCUUCCUUUUACGGUUCACCAAAUCUUCAAUUGAGGACUGGGAGGAAAUUGAAAGUUGCAGUAGCGGAAGGUAGGAAUCUAUUUGUGAAGGAAAAAUCCGGAAAAUGCGACCCCUAUGUAAAACUC